AUUGAACGCUGGCGGCAGGCCUAACACAUGCAAGUCGAGCGGAUGAAGGGAGCUUGCUCCUGGAUUCAGCGGCGGACGGGUGAGUAAUGCCUAGGAAUCUGCCUGGUAGUGGGGGAUAACGUCCGGAAACGGGCGCUAAUACCGCAUACGUCCUGAGGGAGAAAGUGGGGGAUCUUCGGACCUCCCGCUAUCAGAUGAGCCUAGGUCGGAUUAGCUAGUUGGUGGGGUAAAGGCCUACCAAGGCGACGAUCCGUAACUGGUCUGAGGGGAUGAUCAGUCACACUGGAACUGAGACACGGUCCAGACUCCUACGGGAGGCAGCAGUGGGGAAUAUUGGACAAUGGGCGAAAGCCUGAUCCAGCCAUGCCGCGUGUGUGAAGAAGGUCUUCGGAUUGUAAAGCACUUUAAGUUGGGAGGAAGGGCAGUAAGUUAAUACCUUGCUGUUUUGACGUUACCAACAGAAUAAGCACCGGCUAACUUCGUG
rnacentral:rRNA from 1 species